GCCGGCGCCAUGCAAACGGCAACAAUAAUAAUAUUAUUACACAAUUAUAACACCAUAACCUUUGAAUUAAAAUAUUUUCCAGCAAAAAUCCCGUCUCUAACUCUUAUCAGUAGCUCCGAAAUGCAGAAAUGUAGGCAAGCGGGGAGGAGGGGGGGGAGAAAGUGAGACAGUGCAAAAAGGGAGAGAAGCUGCAGGCAUGAAGAUUAACCAUGUGAGUGCUGGAAAGUAACAAGACAGAAGGACAGAGACUUAUACGUUUGGAAACCAGAAAUCUUUGACGGGAGAAACGGACUGGAGGUGCAGGGAGCUGCAGAGAGAGGAUGAGGGUGACGAGAUCUGUA